UACGGAGGGUGCAAGCGUUAUCCGGAUUCACUGGGUUUAAAGGGUGCGUAGGUGGGCAGUUAAGUCAGUGGUGAAAUCUCCGGGCUUAACCCGGAAACUGCCAUUGAUACUAUCUGUCUUGAAUAUCGUGGAGGUAAGCGGAAUAUGUCAUGUAGCGGUGAAAUGCUUAGAUAUGACAUAGAACACCAAUUGCGAAGGCAGCUUACUACCCGAAUAUUGACACUGAGGCACGAAAGCGUGGGAUCAAACAGG
rnacentral:rRNA from 1 species